rnacentral:lncRNA from 1 species
GACAAAGAUGAGCUGCGUGCCCAUAAUUCCACGUUUACGCUGACUCCUCCAGUGCCUCAUCAAUGAAGUAAGCAGGCAGCUACGUUCUGGAUGGCUAGCAUGUACCGAAGGCACAAAACCUCCAGAGUUGGCAGAGUUAAGUCCUGGCGUGCCCGAGGCUAUCCAGGGGAACACGCGGGACAGACAGCACCCUCAGCCUGUCCCCAUGACCCUCUGCUCCAGUCUGAGGGGCAGGACACCAUGAGACCUCUCAGACACAGAGUCCACCCUCGACAUGACCCGGAUGAAAGGCAGGAGUGUGUGCCCUGCUUUUGCCCUCGAAGCUCGCUGAAGGGGACCCAUCUCUGCAAGCCCACAGCCCUACCUGCAGCAUCCACAGCCUCAGAGAGCAGCGGGGCCCCUUACCCCUGAACCCCCUCCAAGAGCAUCAGGACAACAAGCCUUGAGCUGUGGAGACAAGAGAAUCAGUAUCCCUGGCCCAGGGAGGAUUCCAGGAGAGGACACGGGCAGGAGCCCUGGCCCAGAGCCAGAACCAAGAGUCCAGCCAGCGAAACUGGAACUAGGGUCCCCGGCACCCAGGACUCUGCGAGCAUCCCCCAACAGCAAGCCCUUCUGCAAGGGAGACGGGUUGGCCCACCCCAGGCUGUCCAGCUCCAGCAGCCUUGCAGGCAGCCUCUCCAGAAAAAGAGCCUGGUCCUCCCCACCCUGCUCCCCACAGGCUGUCCCUGACCCUGAGGCCCAGAGGCACAAGAGGACUUCUGUAGAGCCCAGGGGAGCAGGCUGUUCUCUUGGGGCCCCAGCGGGCUCAAGGUGUGGCCAGGCUGUCCCCAACUCAGGAUAGAUCAUAGGCUGUCCUGCGUACCUCCUCUGGAACUCCCUGCCCAAGCUCUGCCAUGGACCUGGACGUCAGGGGCCUGUGGUUUAACUUUGAAUAGGGAUUCUGGACCUUACACGUGUGCCCUGGACAGCCCCAGAACCAUGGGGUGGGGACCGACCCAGCAAGCCCACCGGGGCCCUGAAACCCGGCCCUGCCGGACACUGUGAUAAUAACCAAGAGGCAAGUCCAGAGACAUCCACUUUGCCCAAUGGCACCUGCAUCCAACUUCUCAGCAGGCAGUGACUGGCAUGGUGUGGGGGCAGCCGGGGCAGCACCUGGCCAGCACCUGGCCAGCUGCCCUGUAGCCCCCGAUGGCUCCAGUGCCUCUGGACCUCAUUUUCUACUUUCUACGGGGAAACCUACUCCCUCAGAGGCCACCAGAGGGAAGAGUGAGCAAGGCGUUCCUGCAGUCCCGACCAGCCAGCGGCAUGUCCUGUGGCCUCUGACUCAACCUAUGAGACAGAGCUCUGAUCCCAGGGCACACUUCCCAGGACACGGGGCCCAGCCUCAACCAGAGCCCUGUGAAGGGAGGGGCACCAGGAUGACCACAUGGGGGACCAUGGCGCUGCACACCUGGGCACUGUACUUCUCAUUGGAGAAUCCAGGCAAGAUCUUGAAGCAGGUGCAUGAGGUCCUGAGCCUGUGCAGCAAACAGCACUCAUCUGGGGUUGGCACGAAGGGGUCUACAGAGCCACGGCCACCGCAGCCUCUUCCCGGCCCCAUCUGUGCAGUGCAAGUGAUCCACGCCUGCUCCUAAACCCAGCCCAGCAAGCAGCAGCAGCCCGGGCCCCCAAGCCCGCCAGGCCAAUGUGCUGCCCAGAGGCUUCGAGGCCCUGCCCGCUGUACCUCCCACCACCUGGAAGCUGCCUCCUGACGCCUUCCAGCCACUGCUGCAGCCGCAACAGGUGUCGCGGCCAGUGCAGGCUUUCCAGACGGUGGCAGCGCCCAGCAGCCGUUGCCUCAGCUCUUUGGUGGCAGCCAGGCCAACAAGGGCAGCAACGAUGACUAGGAUGAUGAGUGAGCAAACAGCUCCACACUGGUGGACAGGCUGGGUGCGCACCCGGUGGUCCUCAAAGGCUCGCUGGGCCUGUACCACCGUUAUAAAUUUGAGAUCAUGAGAUUAUACCGUUUGCCUUCUUGCUUUUUGAAGUACGAGUAUUUUUAUGCACACUUUGUAGACUUCAAAAUCCAUGAAGAGUCUCAAAGAAGCCGGAUGGAUGGAGCCUGCUGCGGAUGCCUUUUACUCUCGUAGAUCAGGGUGAUUUACAUUCCACCUGUAGUCUGCUUGCAAACACACAGAGCAGCCUUGCAGCUUUGUGCCUUUAGACUCUUGGUUUUGCAUUUCUCCCUGCUCCCUUCUUCCUUCCAGUAAGCUGCAACUUUUCUGAUUGAAAGGGUGCAAGGCUAACACACGGAAUGACUAACUCAGGAUCACAUACUGGCAGUGGGAGAGGCAGGAGGAGCAGCUGCCAUCAAUUGCCAGGGCCAAGUGGAUGAUAGGAUGGAUGCUGGUGCAUGCGGAGGAGGCAGACGCAACGCUCAUCUCUAAUAAUGAUGUCUGUUCCCUCAGAGGCGGCUAGAGCAUCACCUCUUCACGCAAGUGUCUUGAAACUCAGCUUGAAGAUUUCAGCAAAUGUGUCUUACAGAGAAGAGAAGAGGGAGUCAGCCCAUCGGGAUUAAAAAUAUAGAGGCAGUGACAACACACACUCGGCUUCAGUUCUUAGGAGAGUUUUGGUUUUGAUUUUUUUUUUUUUUUUGGAGAAGAUUUUUUUUUUAAUGGAUCUACACUGUUAACUGAGACUCUGUUGAGAUUCACUGGUUUACUUAAAAACUUCUCAGGGAUGUCUGUAAAUUUCAGUGUUAUAUGUCAUGAAAACUGGUGUGGGCAGAUCUGUUGGUUGAAAUAAUUUCUACUUUUCAAUGUUUUUGUAGUUACUGAGCUAAAUCAUAUGGUAAUUGACAGUUUCUAAAUCUGUCACCUAAAGGUUAAAUUAUCUACUGUUGCCGUGAAGUCAAACUUACUGCUGCCUCAGAAAUCCCUGGGUACCGCGAUGGUCAUACAGAAGUAAGGAAGUCAAUUUGAAAUGUCAGUGAGUCAAAAUGAUUAAAGAGGCCAGGUGCAGUGGCUCACGCUUGUAAUCCCAGCACUUUGGGAGGCUGAGGCAGUGGAUUGCUUGAGUCCAGGAGUUUGAGAUCAACCUGUGCGACAUGGCAAAACCCUGUCUCUACAAAAAAUACAAAACAAAUUUAUCCAG